CAGAUAACAACGGUUUUGGUUUCGUGCUGGCUCUUGUCAGCGUGGUGAUAGCCUUCCGGUUUUGUCUGUUGUAGUUGUGCGUUUGGAGUUCGCUGCACUUCAGGUUGCAACAUCUUUCAAGCGCAAGGUGCAGCGUUGUUAAUCAGCGAGGUACUUUCCCUCCUGCUCCCCUCCACCUCGGAGUUAUCAAGGCCAAGGUUGGCUUUGUGAGACAAGAGCUCGAAGACUUCUUAAACGUUUGAAAGCUUCGUUCGAGUUAUAUUUAGAACUCCUUUAUCGCUGCAACGAAAGUUUGUCGGUAGCUGAGGACUGCUGCUGUGCAUGAACGCAAGGACGCACGUCAAUGUUUUGCCCCGCAACAGCAGAAGGGCUCGCUCUCCUAUAAAAGAGAGGGGGCCCCUCCGUCACACAGCACACAGAACCGCAACAACAUGGCCACUUUCGAAAGAAUGGUUGUCGGUCCCCUACUGCAAGGAACAGUGGCAGCCAUAUUGGCUUGUAUCUUGUCUACAACUCUGCUGGUCCUGUUGGCCGCCGCCGCAAUGCUCGUUUGCACGCUGCUCGCCGCCUCCGCUGCGUUGGUUGUCUCCUUGCUCGUGUUCCUGGCUGUGGUGUGCGGAGUCGUCGCUGCAACGGCGCUGUUUGUGAUCUUCAUCAUAGCGCCGCUCAUUCUGGGAUCGUCUGCAAUUGCGUUGCUUGCUGUCGGUGCACUGUUGAUGAUGUUCUUCGACAUCUCCGCACUACCAUUCAUGAACAGCGCCGACACCGAGGGUCAAGUUGACAUCAAGAAGAUAGAAAACGCUAACAUCGAUCCGGUCGUGAAAGCUGAAAAGAGUGUGAAGUGCCAGUGCGUUUGUGUGCAAGAGUUCAAUGGGUUGGACGACCUCAAAGCUGAUUAGAGUCUCGUAAAAUCCCUCGAACAUUGUGUGAUAAAUGUUUCAUUUUUAACUUUGGUUCAGUCUACGAAGCAGUGGUGUCAUUUCUGGGAUGGCCUUACUGUGAAAGGUUAUUUGAAUCUAUAACAACUGACUGGCAACGAUCAACAAUCUCAAAGUUGGCUAGGGUGUCGUGAGCUCUGUUUUAUGAGUUUAAACCAAAAGCCCACAAAAAAUUGUAUAAUAUUAUCAAUGUUUAUUUACAAUCUGAGGUAGAACAAAUUACAAGAAACAAAAUAUCUAUAAUAGACAUGGUGAAAGGGGUGGUCCGCUUCAUUGAUUGAUUUUCUUUAUAAUUAGUUGCCUUUUUGGUUUCCUUUUUUUUUCUCCUCAUUCGUCAAUUCUUUAGUUAGUUUUAUUUUGCGCGAAUUUUUACAUUGAGUUAUAUCUUCAGGCGGUCCGUUAAAAGUUUAGGUACGUAGUAUUUUCUUGUUGCCUCUCCAUAUUUCGUUUUUAUAUAUGAUUCUACAUAUAUUAUGCUUGGACGUAACAUUCUUUCCUUAACUGUUUCUAUUUUAUGUUUAUUGUAUAAAAAAUGUUUUGUUAUGGAUUCUUCAAUUGAUCACUAAAGCACAACACUCCUAAAUCUUUCUGCAUAAACUUAUCAAAAACAUAUUCUUCACUAUUAUGUCCCACCUUUCUAAGUAUUGUAUUUGGAAGUUUUGAUUUUUAUUUUACAGAUAUUUGGCACAGUACUCGUUAACAGUUAUUGCAUAUUGUAAUACUGGUUUUCCUAAGGAAUUAUAUAUCAUUCGAAGAACAGAACGGAGAACCGUAUCUUGAAUAUGAAACAUGUGCCGUCGGCAUUCUCAACUUCUUGCAUACCUGUUCUACAUGAAUUUUCCAUUUAAGAUGAUGAUCUAUGUACAUUCCAAGAUAUUUUACAUUGUCGACGUAUUCUAGUGUCGGCAAAAAAGCUGUUACAGUUAUUCUCGUGCAUUUUUAUCUAUAUUUCGGUAUGUAUUUUUUUUUCCUUGUGUCUCGGAAGCACGUUACUUGGGUUGUGGGAAAAUUUACGAUUAUUUGAUUUUUACUGUACCAUUGAAAGAAUAUUGAAAAUAUCUUCCUGAACCUCACCUACGGCGCUUGCAGAUUCCUUGCGGGCGUAGACAAUUACCGUAUCAUCAGCAAACUGAAAAAGUUGUUAGUUUGACCUGGGUUAUCUCGUUAACAUAUAAAUUAAAAAGUGAUGGGCCGAGAGUACUGUUCCCUAUGGUACUCUGUGGUUGACUUUAAUUUCUCUACUAUAUUUGGAAGCUAGUCGCACCCUUGGUGUCUACCAAGGAGAGAAAUUUGAAAAAAUAUCAUAUGCCCUCCCCUAAAUCCUUAUGCUAUGUAACCUAUCUAAUACAGAAUGAUUUAUUGUUUUAAAGGCCCUAGAGAAGUCUACAAACAAGGCUACUAUAUAUUUCCCGCUGUCCAUGUUUUCGUACACGUCAAAAAAGUCCUCUAAUAAAUCACAUAUGCCUAUAUGUUUUCUAAACUGAUACUGUAUAUGAAUUACUAUAUUAUGCUUUGUGUUAAAGCUUUAAAAUAUUUUAUUAAUCAAGAGUACACACACUGGUCUAUAAUUAAGAAGUUUGUUUUUCUCACCUUUUUUUUUGUAUAUUGGCCUUACUACAGCUGUUUUAAGUUUUCUAGGAAUGACACCCCUAGAGAAUAUACAAUUGCACAGCUGGAUCAGUACUGGUUUUAACACAUGAAUCUGGUAUUUAAUAUCCUUUGGCCUUAUUUGAUCUAACCCCACUGCUUUAUUCAUUUAAAUUUUUUCCACUAUUUCUAUUCAAUCAUUUUGAGCCGUAUCUGGAAGAAAUAAUGAAUCGCAGAUUUUUAUUUGAUUAUGUUGUCGUUCCCUUGGUCCACUACAAAGAGGUUUGAUUGACUGUACAUUUUCUGUAUUAAAAUCGUUGGCGAGCUUUUCUAUGUCAUAAUUAGGGCCAAAAUUAAUUUCUGUUUAAUCGAUUUUUUCUUUUUUCGUCCUAACAGCUGAUUUACUAAUGACCAACACUGUGCUGCAUCUUUCGUUUCAUAAAACUUGGUUCAAUAAUAUUUUCUUUUCGUGUUUCUUA